rnacentral:rRNA from 1 species
AAUAGAUACCCGGGUAGUCCAUGCCGUAAACGUUGGGCACUAGGUGUGGGGCUCAUUCCGACGAGUUCCGUGCCGCAGCAAACGCAUUAAGUGCCCCGCCUGGGGAGUACGGCCGCAAGGCUAAAACUCAAAGAAAUUGACGGGGGCCCGCACGAGCGGCGGAGCAUGCGGAUUAAUUCGAUGCAACGCGAAGAACCUUACCAAGGCUUGACAUACACCGGAAACUUCCAGAGAUGGUUGCCCCGCAAGGUCGGUGUACAGGUGGUGCAUGGUUGUCGUCAGCUCGUGUCGUGAGAUGUUGGGUUAAGUCCCGCAACGAGCGCAACCCUCGUCCUAUGUUGCCAGCGGGUCAUGCCGGGGACUCAUAGGAGACUGCCGGGGUCAACUCGGAGGAAGGUGGGGAUGACGUCAAAUCAUCAUGCCCCUUAUGUCUUGGGCUUCACGCAUGCUACAAUGGCCGGUACAAAGGGCUGCGAUACCGCGAGGUGGAGCGAAUCCCAAAAACGCCGGUCUCAGUUCGGAGUUGGGGUCUGCAACUCGACCCC